GACGAACGCUGGCGGCGUGCUUAACACAUGCAAGUCGAACGGAAAGGCCCUGCUUUUGUGGGGUGCUCGAGUGGCGAACGGGUGAGUAACACGUGAGUAACCUGCCCUUGACUUUGGGAUAACUUCAGGAAACUGGGGCUAAUACCGGAUAGGAGCUCCUGCUGCAUGGUGGGGGUUGGAAAGUUUCGGCGGUUGGGGAUGGACUCGCGGCUUAUCAGCUUGUUGGUGGGGUAGUGGCUUACCAAGGCUUUGACGGGUAGCCGGCCUGAGAGGGUGACCGGCAACAUGGGGACGGAGAUACGGCCCAGACUCUACGGGAGGCAGCAGUGGGGAAUAUUGCACAAUGGGCGGAAGCCUGAUGCAGCAACGCCGCGUGCGGGAUGACGGCCUUCGGGUUGUAAACCGCUUUCGCCUGUGACGAAGCGUGAGUGACGGUAAUGGGUAAAGAAGCACCGGCUAACUACGUG
rnacentral:rRNA from 1 species